AAUGAACGCUGGCGGCAGGCCUAACACAUGCAAGUCGAGCGGACGAAGGGAGCUCGCUCCCCGCUUCAGCGGCGGACGGGCGAGUAAUGCCUAGGAAGCUGCCUGGUCGAGGGGGAUAACGUCCGGACACGGGCGCUAAUACCGCAUACGUCCUGAGGGAGAACGUCGGGGAUCUUUGGACCUCACGCUAUCUGCUGAGCCUAGGUCGGAUUAGCUAGUUGGUGGGGUAAAGGCCUACCAAGGCGACGAUCCGUAACUGAUCUGAGAGGAUGAUCAGUCACACUGGAACUGAGACACGGUCCAGACUCCUACGGGAGGCAGCAGUAGGGAAUCUUGGACAAUGGGCGAAAGCCUGAUCCAGCCAUGCCGCGUGUGUGAAGAAGGUCUUCGGAUUGUAAAGCUCUGUAAGUUGGGAGGAAGAGCAGUAAGUGAAUACCUGGCUGUUUUGACGUUACCAACAGAAUAAGCACCGGCUAACUUCGUG
rnacentral:rRNA from 1 species